rnacentral:rRNA from 1 species
GAAUUUUGCGCAAUGGGCGAAAGCCUGACGCAGCAACGCCGCGUGCGUGAUGAAGGCCUUCGGGUCGUAAAGCUCUGUCAGAGGGGAAGAACCACCUGUCGGCCAAUACCCGGCAGGCCUGACGGUACCCUCAAAGGAAGCACCGGCCAACUCCGUCCCAGCCGCCGCGGUAAUACGGAGGGUGCAAGCGUUGUUCGGAAUUAUUGGGCGUAAAGCGCGUGUAGGUGGUCUGUUAAGUCUGAUGUGAAAGCCCCGGGCUCAACCCGGGAAGUGCAUUGGAAACUGGCAGACUUGAGUACGGGAGAGGGUAGUGGAAUUCCGAGUGUAGGGGUGAAAUCCGUAGAUAUUCGGAGGAACACCGGUGGCGAAGGCGGCUACCUGGACCGAUACUGACGCUGAGACGCGAAAGCGUGGGGAGCAAACAGG